UCUUAUAAAAUAAAAUUUUUGUAAGCCACAAAUGCCGAGAGAAGAUUAGCAUGAUCCCUGAGCAAGGAUGGCGUGGGAAUUCUUGAAGUGUUCCAUACUGUU